rnacentral:rRNA from 1 species
CGGGCGGACGGGUGAGUAACGUGUGGAUAACCUGCCUCACACAGGGGGGUAACAGUUAGAAAUGACUGCUAAUACCGCAUAAGCGCACGGUACCGCAUGGUACAGUGUGAAAAACUCCGGUGGUGUGAGAUGGAUCCGCGUCUGAUUAGGUAGUUGGUGAGGUAACGGCCCACCAAGCCGACGAUCAGUAGCCGACCUGAGAGGGUGACCGGCCACAUUGGGACUGAGACACGGCCCAA